GGUAAGGUGGCCGAGAAGGUAGUGGGUUGUAGCCCCAAACACGGAGGUUUUAAUCCUCCCCUUACCA
rnacentral:tRNA from 1 species